GUGCCAGCAGCCGCGGUAAUACGUAGGUCCCAAGCGUUGUCCGGAUUUAUUGGGCGUAAAGCGAGCGCAGGUGGUUUCUUAAGUCUGAUGUAAAAGGCAGUGGCUCAACCAUUGUGUGCAUUGGAAACUGGGAGACUUGAGUGCAGGAGAGGAGAGUGGAAUUCCAUGUGUAGCGGUGAAAUGCGUAGAUAUAUGGAGGAACACCGGAGGCGAAAGCGGCUCUCUGGCCUGUAACUGACACUGAGGCUCGAAAGCGUGGGGAGCAAACAGGAUUAGAUACCCUGGUAGUCC
rnacentral:rRNA from 1 species